AAUGACCUAUUGAAAAUUCCAUAGCUGUGCCAGCUAGGAGACAACACUACAAAGCUGAGGUCUCCUACCUACUGUUCUACAUGCUUUGAACCACUGAUCAGUAUACAGUGCUCUUUCAUCUACAGCCAGAAUGUAGGUCCAGGGCUCUACUGUUUCAGAGAAAUGCUCCCUCCAGGAAAUGUAGCAAUGGUUAUACAGAAAAUCAACACUACCCCUUUGCUGUUCCCAGUGGUAAAGGUGACACUAAAGGGGGGCAUGCAGAACUGAAUGCUACUGUUCCAGCAGGCUGGCAGGCCAGAGCUGCAAUGAAAGGUAAUG